rnacentral:rRNA from 1 species
CCUACGGGAGGCAGCAGUGGGGAAUUUUGGACAAUGGGCGAAAGCCUGAUCCAGCAAUGCCGCGUGAGUGAAGAAGGCCUUCGGGUUGUAAAGCUCUUUUGUCAGGGAAGAAACGGUGAGAGCUAAUAUCUCUUGCUAAUGACGGUACCUGAAGAAUAAGCACCGGCUAACUACGUGCCAGCAGCCGCGGUAAUACGUAGGGCGCAAGCGUUAAUCGGAAUUACUGGGCGUAAAGCGUGCGCAGGCGGUUUUGUAAGUCUGAUGUGAAAUCCCCGGGCUCAACCUGGGAAUUGCAUUGGAGACUGCAAGGCUAGAAUCUGGCAGAGGGGGGUUAGAAUUCCACGUGUAGCAGUGAAAUGCGUAGAUAUGUGGAGGAACACCGAUGGCGAAGGCAGCCCCCUGGGUCAAGAUUGACGCUCAUGCACGAAGACGUGGGAGGACGAACAGGAGUAGUAUACCGUACGGUAGUACCGACCGACCCGUAACCGAACUAGUCUACUAGUUGUUCGGUUCGUUAUUAGUACUUGUUACGU